CUUUAGGCAUUUUGAAGACUAGGUGCACUGAAAAUUUGUUUAGUUGGACCAACUUGUAUCCUGCUGUUAAUGCAGAACAACUUCAGGAUUUUACUAACUCAUUAGCUCUGGCUUAGAUAGUUUGUAUAGUUAGCCAGAGAUUUUUUUGUAAGCUCAAAUGCCAUAUCUUGUAAAUUUUGCAUCUUCCCGAUGCUGUUAUUAAUACCACUUAUCUUAUCAAAAAAAA
rnacentral:lncRNA from 1 species